UACGUAGGUGACAAGCGUUGUCCGGAUUUACUGGGCGUAAAGAGCGCGCAGGCGGUCGUUCAAGUCGAGUGUGAAAGCCCCCGGCUCAACUGGGGAGGGUCAUUCGAUACUGAUCGACUCGAAGGCAGGAGAGGGUAGUGGAAUUCCCGGUGUAGUGGUGAAAUGCGUAGAUAUCGGGAGGAACACCAGUGGCGAAGGCGGCGACCUGGUCCGAUACUGACGCUGAGGCGCGAAAGCCGUGGG
rnacentral:rRNA from 1 species